rnacentral:rRNA from 1 species
CCUACGGGUGACAGCAGUGAGGAAUAUUGGUCAAUGGGCGUAAGCCUGAACCAGCCAAGUCGCGUGAGGGAUGAAGGUGCUAGGGAUCGUAAACCUCUUUUAUAAGGGAAUAAAGUGUGGGACGUGUCCUGUUUUGUAUGUACCUUAUGAAUAAGGAUCGGCUAACUCCGUGCCAGCAGCCGCGGUAAUACGGAGGAUCCGAGCGUUAUCCGGAUUUAUUGGGUUUAAAGGGUGCGUAGGCGGCCUUUUAAGGCAGCGGUGAAAGUCUGUGGCUCAACCAUAGAAUUGCCGUUGAAACUGGGAGGCUUGAGUGUGUUUGAGGCAGGCGGAAUGCGUGGUGUAGCGGUGAAAUGCUUAGAUAUCACGCAGAACCCCGAUUGCGAAGGCAGUCUGCCAAGCCAUGACUGACGCUGAUGCACGAAAGCGUGGGGAUCAAACAGGAUUAGAUACCCCAGUAGUC